GGGAAGGUAGCUCAGUGGUAGAGCGCUUGUCUUGCAUGCAUGAGGCCCUGGGUUCAAUUCCUCAGCACCA
rnacentral:tRNA from 1 species